rnacentral:rRNA from 1 species
AGUGAACGCUGGCGGUAGGCCUAACACAUGCAAGUCGAACGGCAGCACAGUAAGAGCUUGCUCUUACGGGUGGCGAGUGGCGGACGGGUGAGGAAUACAUCGGAAUCUACUUUUUCGUGGGGGAUAACGUAGGGAAACUUACGCUAAUACUGCAUACGACCUACGGGUGAAAGCAGGGGAUCUUCGGACAUCGCGCGAUUGAAUGAGCCGAUGUCGGAUUAGCUAGUUGGCGGGGUACAGGCCCACCGAGGCGAGGCUCCGUAGCUGGUGUGAGAGGAGGAUCACCCACACUGGAACUGAGACACGGUCCAGACUCCUACAGGAGGCAGCAGUGGGGAAUAUUGGACAAUGGGCGCAAGCCUGAUCCAGCCAUACCGCGUGGGUGAAGAAGGCCUUCGGGUUGUAAAGCCCUUUUGUUGGGAAAGAAAAGCAGCAGGUUAAUACCCCGCUGUUCUGACGGUACCCAAAGAAUAAGCACCGGCUAACUUCGUG